GUGCCCGUAGCUCAGUGGAUAGAGCGCUGGCCUGCGGAGCCAGAGACCGGAGGUUCGAGUCCUCUCGGGCACG
rnacentral:tRNA from 1 species